GCAGCUCAAGUCAGCAGAGCAUAGGACUCUUAAUCUUAGGGUUGUGGGUUUGAGUCCCACAUUGGACA